rnacentral:lncRNA from 1 species
CUCUACUUCGCGCUAGCUAGUGGUCAUGUCAGGCCUGGAGGGAAAGUUCCACUACAACACUCUCUCCGUGCAUUUUUAAAUUUUUGUCAGAGAUAGAUUAUCUUAUCUACACGAACAAGAAUCAGAAAGAGGGAGCCGUGUGUCCCACGGUGACAAUAUCAUAGGCUUCGCUGGGAUCUAGAUCCUAAUGCCCAAGGUGCCAGGCAGCUGGUGCUCAGCACGAGUCCUCCACCCUCUAUAGGAGAAAGAAAAUCAGGGAGAUGUGGCAAGGGACAGCUGCCUCUGUCCUGACUGCCCUGGAGAUAGAAUGGCCUCUCCACCCUCAACUGCAGAUGAAUGGUGCUCACAACCUUAAUCAGAAAAGCUUUUCUUUGCAAUGCGCAAUGCUGGGUGAAGAGGCCACGCAGCUGCUCAGGUGCCGCAAACAAGCGAGGGCUGAGCCCCACCGCUCUAUACCACCACAUAAAGAGAAGAGCCGAUGUGGGAACAGAAAGAUCGGGAGAGAGGCUUGGAAAUGCUGGCUUCCGGGCAUGGCACAGCCGAGUGCUCAUAGCAGCUGUGACUGUCUACAGUCGAGCCUCCCAAAACCAUGUCUAUGAAUAAUCAAUCACGAAAUGGGAAGGGGGCCGUCAUCCUGCUCACCCCUGCUGAAGUAGUCCCUGCGGUCCUGACUCCUCCAGGAUGGCAAGCGUUGCUUUAAAGAGGAAUAGCUGCUGCCCUGGAAAGUGGAGCAAGACAGGGCAGACAUAACUCUGACCUGAAGUACACUUGUGACAGAGAAACAAGUUUCUUUAGGAAGCUCCAGAGUAGACAGGCCUUCAGAACUGUCUCAAUGAGGACAGGGACCUGGCUUCUGUCCCCACCAUCACCGGGAGUCUCCUCUGGGAAGGAAUGACAGUGUGCCGCUGCAGUACCACUGAGGCUAGGAGACCUGAGAACAGACAUUGUAUCUACAAUUGGACAUCAAUACCCCACCUAGCCUGUGGCAGAGCCCACCUCUAUUCCUCUACUGUGAAUAUCAAAAUCUCUCGGUGAGUAAACAAGACGUUUCUCAGAAGUUGCCACACUGUCUCAGUUUCUCCAACCAGCUGGGGAGAUCAAAGAAAACACCGGCUCUGAGAUGAAAGUAGCCUGUGAUCAGCUUAUCUAUCUGCCCUGAAUCCCAGUUCUGAGGACCGACCCAGGAUCUGCCAGAGGAGCAGAUGCUCCAAGGCCCCUCCAACUGCCACCAGCAGGAUACCAUAUUAUUAUCUCAAAUCAAGUAGGCCCCUGGAUGUUCUUAAGGAGCUUUUUGAGCCAGAAAAACUCCUAUUUUUACAUUUUAUAUUUAGUCUAAACCCAGGAAAUGUGCCCAGUCCCUUGGCCAAAUCCAUUGAGAUUAAGAAAAUCUGAUGUCUCAAGCCUCCUCCGUGGGAAAACUAUGUUUGCACUUUUUUUUUUCCAAACAAACAUUACCUCAGUGUCGACUUUGUGCCAGCAAAUCUGGUUGGCACUGAGAACAAAGAGAUAAACAAGACACAGGGCCUGCUUUCUAGGGUUUCAAAGGUUGUCAUGGAAAAGGGACGGAUGGGACCCAGCGCUAUGGAGCAGAGCACUCUAGACUGGUUGGAAAGAAAAUCCUUCACUAGACCAAGGCAAUCUGCUCUUCCAACCGCUCUCUGAACUGUGCCAAAUGGUGCUAAUAUCCAUCGCCAAAAUCUCAGUGGGGAAGACCAUUGCCAGGCCAUGCUGAGGCUCCUCGGAAUCCCGGCAAUAUUUGAACAACUCUCGGCAGGGAGGAGGCUCAUUAUGAGUCCUGCAGAUAGCUCUGUGAUGGCAAGCUUCCUUUCUGCAAACUCUAAAAUACUUUGUUUCUUUGAGCCAGGCCCUUUCAUGAAAGGCCAGACCAGCCUACACAGUGGAUCUGCUCCAGGCUGAGCAAAAGCUCUGGGGUUUGGCAGCAUCUGCCAUGGAAUGCCAGGGUCAUUCAAACUCUGGGUCCCCAGGAGAUGGAGUCAAGACAUACAACACCCUGUUCGUCCUCUCUACUUCUGUAUCAAUGCUUAAUUUGUAGGCCACUACUUGUGAACUACUGCAAGUCACAGAAAAGAAAUCCUGUACUAACCAGCAUUGUAACUGUUAAAAAAGCCCCCUUGUCUACACA